rnacentral:snRNA from 1 species
CUAUGACUCUCUUAAGGU